rnacentral:misc_RNA from 1 species
GGAAGUCCAUGAUAUGCAAUGGAAGUGGAGAGAGAACAUUGUGGGUUCAACAACCCAACCCAACUCCAUGCAUGCGAAUGGCACCUUCCCUUCUCCAGCAGCCUGCAGGGGAACGGAGUUUAUCGAUCACCAACCUUCGUGCCUGCCUCUGCUUCUCAGUCAUGUGCCAUGGUUUUCUCAAUGUUUCAACUCGUCCGACGUCUGGACAUCAUAUUAUCAGAAAUGUUGUACGACACACUCUCCAUCACACAAAAACAUAUGCUGAUGACCAUAAUUGCAGAGGGAAAGAUUGUUUCACAGAUGGUUCAAUUUCAGCUCAACUGCAAUUCAAAACACCUAUAUUCUACAAACUGGUAGAGAAUUAUUACUACAUUUUCUAUUUAACAUUUUAUUUACGUUUUAUCAACUUUAUCCAGCCUCCAUUGUUAUUGUUAACAAAAUUUCUUAUUGGUCCCUUAUCCCAUAUUGUAUCUUCACAUG